rnacentral:rRNA from 1 species
AUGGCUAGUAAUUGGAGUUUCAGACAAUUUGGGGAGGUAAUUUGUAGCCAAUAUCCUUGGGGUUUGCUUGAUGAAGUGGUUUACAAAUACUAUGAUGGGGGAAAGAAUUGGGUGACAGUUAGUAAUGAUGAAGAGCUAGCUACCAUGUUUGUUAGGCAUAAAGAGAAAGAUAAUUUCCAUGUGAGGCUGCAAGUUGAUGUGCUUGAGCAGGCAUUUGGACCUAGGAUGGCGGGUGCAACAUCUUGGGGAGAAUCAAGUCGUCGUAAUAGCAUCUCUAGCCAGAACAGUUCAGUUGGUGCACGGCGACGUGGUGGCUCGACAAGUGUGGGCAACAGCAGUAGGGUCCCCCUUGAAGUGGAGCCUGAUGGCUACAAUUCUGGGGUUGAUGAAGAGAAAUUAUAUUCUGAUGUUAUUCAGAAUUUACGACAGGCACCUAGGGCUAAAAACCAAGAUGAGGCUCACAAUGCAGUCCGUGUGGAUGAUGACGCGAUGGGUGAGGACGAAGACCUUGCAGCUGUUCAAUGGGACCCUUUGAACCCUCAAAUGGAAGAAGGUACAGUUUUUGCAUCCAUGAAUGAGUGUAGAAAUGCACUUGUGACAUACUGCAUCAAGGUAGAAUGUACUUUCAAAGUUGACAAGAGCGAUCAAGUACAUUACAGAGUGCACUGUCCGACUGAGGGUUGUCCAUGGAGGCUGCUUGCAGCUAAAAUGCGGAAUAGCACUAAUGUUCAGGUCAAAGUGAAUCCUUUUAAGCACACAUGUCAGGAAUCAACCCUUAGGAAGGAUACAAUCAGUAGAGCCAAGUCAAGAUGGGUGGCAGCAUCUUUGACAUGCAGUGUGAAGAAGCACAACUACCACUUGAGGCAGUUAUACAUGAAUCCCAAAGUGAAAGAAUACUUGGAAACACACCACUCCAAGUUAUGGGCCAGAAGCCAAUUCAGUGAAGUGAGCAAAGUUGACUAUGUGCACAAUAAUCUAGCAGAGUCUUUCAACUCAACAAUCCGGAAACUAAAG